UUCCUAAAUCUUUAAGUUAGAUGUUAUGUGAGUAUCAGAUCCAGUUUGAAGCACUGAUCAGCGUCUGCAUCAGAAGUUUAGCUUGUGUGGAAGAAAACAGAGAUCAUAAUGCGUUAUUUACUCUGUUGCGCUGUCCUGCUAGUUAUCACUGCCAUAGUCAGUGGAAAAAAUCCAGAUGCUGCACCAAAGAAUUCCACUCAGAUAGGAACAAUGUCCAACUCUGCUGAAGACCCAGUGGCAUCACUUACUAUCCUAUGCUUAUCCAUCUUGUACUACUUCUUGGGUCACUAAGCAAGAGACGGCCACAUCCAGAUGACCACGCAGGCCUGAAAGAUGGAAUUUCAGAUUUCCCACUGGAAUCUUUCCUCUAGUCACAAACACAGUAACGUCACUUAUGUAUCUCCCAAUUUCCACUCUAGCAAAAAUAUAUGUAAAUAAAGAUUUGUUUACAGCAACAAAA